rnacentral:rRNA from 1 species
UACGUAGGGGGCAAGCGUUGUCCGGAAUCAUUGGGCGUAAAGAGCGUGUAGGCGGCUCGGUAAGUCCGCUGUGAAAGUCGGGGGCUCAACCCUCGGAUGCCGGUGGAUACUGUCGGGCUCGAGUACGGAAGAGGCGAGUGGAAUUCCUGGUGUAGCGGUGAAAUGCGCAGAUAUCAGGAAGAACACCCGUGGCGAAGGCGGCUCUCUGGGACGGUACUGACGCUGAGACGCGAAAGCGUGGGGAGCGAACAGG